rnacentral:tRNA from 1 species
GGGGGAUAAUUUAAUUGGAAAAAUACCUGCUAGCUAGGCAGGAGAUGUAGGUUCGAAUCCUUUGCUCCUCCACUA